rnacentral:rRNA from 1 species
AUUAUUAGCUAGCACUCUGCAACUCUCACAUGGUUGCCGACUGAAGCUUAGGAGAGCUGCGCCCAGUCAGUACCUGGAUGGGAGACAACAUGGGAAAGCUAGGUUGCUGCUGGAA